rnacentral:rRNA from 1 species
UACGUAGGGUGCGAGCGUUAAUCGGAAUUCCUGGGCGUAAAGUGUGCGCAGGCGGCGUCGCUAGUCGAGUGUGAAAGCCCCGAGCUUAACUUGGGAAUUGCGCUCGAAACUACGAUGCUGGAGUGUGGCAGAGGAAGGUGGAAUUCCACGUGUAGCGGUGAAAUGCGUAGAGAUGUGGAGGAACACCGAUGGCGAAGGCAGCCUUCUGGGCCAACACUGACGCUCAUGCACGAAAGCGUGGGGAGCAAACAGG